rnacentral:rRNA from 1 species
GGACCAUCCUCCAAGGCUAAAUACUCCUGACUGACCGAUAGUGAACCAGUACCGUGAGGGAAAGGCGAAAAGAACCCCGGCGAGGGGAGUGAAAAAGAACCUGAAACCGUGUACGUACAAGCAGUGGGAGCCUCUUUUAUGGGGUGACUGCGUACCUUUUGUAUAAUGGGUCAGCGACUUAUAUUCUGUAGCAAGGUUAACCGAAUAGGGGAGCCGAAGGGAAACCGAGUCUUAACUGGGCGUUAAGUUGCAGGGUAUAGACCCGAAACCCGGUGAUCUAGCCAUGGGCAGGUUGAAGGUUGGGUAACACUAACUGGAGGACCGAACCGACUAAUGUUGAAAAAUUAGCGGAUGACUUGUGGCUGGGGGUGAAAGGCCAAUCAAACCGGGAGAUAGCUGGUUCUCCCCGAAAGCUAUUUAGGUAGCGCCUCGUGAAUUCAUCUCCGGGGGUAGAGCACUGUUUCGGCAAGGGGGUCAUCCCGACUUACCAACCCGAUGCAAACUGCGAAUACCGGAGAAUGUUAUCACGGGAGACACACGGCGGGUGCUAACGUCCGUCGUGAAGAGGGAAACAACCCAGACCGCCAGCUAAGGUCCCAAAGUCAUGGUUAAGUGGGAAACGAUGUGGGAAGGCCCAGACAGCCAGGAUGUUGGCUUAGAAGCAGCCAUCAUUUAAAGAAAGCGUAAUAGCUCACUGGUCGAGUC